rnacentral:rRNA from 1 species
GACGAACGCUGGCGGCGUGCUUAACACAUGCAAGUCGAACGGAACGGCCCUGCUUUUGUGGGGUGCUCGAGUGGAGGACGGGUGAGUAACACGUGAGUACCCUGUCCCUGACUUUGGGAUAACCUCAGGCAACUGGGGCUAAUACCGGAUAGGAGCUCCCGCUGCAUGGUGGGGGUUGGAUAGUUUCGGUGGUUGGGGAUGGAAUCGCGGCUUAUCAGAUUGGUGGUGGGGUAGUGGCUUACCAAGGCUUUGACAGGUGGCCGGCCUGAGAGGAGAACCGGCCAAGUCACAACUGAGAUAAGACCCAGACUCCUACGGGACGCAACAGAGGGGAGGAGUGCACAAGGGGCGGAAGCCGAAUGCAGCAACGCCGCGUGCGGGAAGACGGCCUGCGGGUUGUAAACCGCUGUCGCCUGAGACGAGGCGAGAAUGACGGUAAUGGGUGAAUAAGCACCGGCUAACUACGUG